GAUGAACGCUGGCGGCGUGCUUAACACAUGCAAGUCGAACGGUGAACGAGGGAGCUUGCUCCCUCCGGAUCAGUGGCGAACGGGUGAGUAACACGUGAGCAAUCUGCCCUGGACUCUGGGAUAAGCGUUGGAAACGACGUCUAAUACCGGAUACGAGACGCGAAGGCAUCUUCAGCGUCUGGAAAGAACUUCGGUCCAGGAUGAGCUCGCGGCCUAUCAGGUAGUUGGUGAGGUAACGGCUCACCACGCCUACGACGGGUAGCCGGCCUGAGGGGGUGACCGGCAACACUGGGACUGAGACACGGCCCAGACUCCUCCGGGAGGCAGCAGUGGGGAAUAUUGCACAAUGGGCGAAAGCCUGAUGCAGCAACGCCGCGGGAGGGACGACGGCCUUCGGGUUGUAAACCUCUUUUAGCAGGGAAGAAGCGAAAGUGACGGUACCUGCAGAAAAAGCACCGGCUAACUACGUGCCAGCAGCCGCCGUAACAC
rnacentral:rRNA from 1 species